rnacentral:rRNA from 1 species
UACAGAGGUCCCAAGCGUUGUUCGGAUUCACUGGGCGUAAAGGGUGCGUAGGUGGCCAGGUAAGUUUGGUGUGAAAGCUCGGAGCUUAACUCCGAAAAGUCAUUGAAUACUAUCUGGCUGGAGGGUCGGAGGGGAGACUGGAAUUCUCGGUGUAGCAGUGAAAUGCGUAGAUAUCGAGAGGAACACCAGUGGCGAAGGCGAGUCUCUGGACGACUCCUGACACUGAGGCACGGAAAGCUAGGGGAGCAAACAGG